rnacentral:lncRNA from 1 species
AUUAGUCAUAAAAAUACACAUACUCUCUUGCUUUUGUGUUUAAAACAUAUAUUUAAUUCUUAAAAAUGGUAUAAAAUAAGUAAUUCACUCUACCAAUAUUGAUUUGGUGUAAUAAACCUUGUCACCUUGAGAAGGCUACUAAAAUAAACAAAUACAUUAAGUAGCUAAAUGAUAUGUAUAUGAGUAUGUCAUUUUAAUUCAAAGACAUGCAUUCGGAGUGUUUCGACCCAUCCUACAAUGUUCAAAGCAAACUUAGUUCUUUACCCAUGUAUC